AAAGGGUGCGUAGGAGGGCAGGUAAGUCAGUGGUGAGAUCUCCAAGCUUAGCUUGGAAACUGCCGUUGAUACUAUCUAUCUUGAAUAUCGUGGAGGUGGGCGGAAUAUGUCAUGUAGCGGUGAAAUGCUUAGAUAUGACAUAGAACACCAAUUGCGAAGGCAGCUCGCUACACGAAUAUUGACUCUGAGGCACGAAAGCGUGGGGAUCAAACAGGAUUAGAUACCCUGGUAGUCCACGCCCUAAACGAUGGAUACUCGACAUACGCGAUACACAGUGUGUGUCUGAGCGAAAGCAUUAAGUAUCCCACCUGGGAAGUACGACCGCAAGGUUGAAACUCAAAGGAAUUGGCGGGGGUCCGCACAAGCGGUGGAGCACGUGGUUUAAUUCGAUGAUACGCGAGGAACCUUACCUGGGCUAGAAUGCUGGUUGACCGAGGGUGAAAGCUCUCUUUGUAGCAAUACACAACUAGUAAGGUGCUGCAUGGCUGUCGUCAGCUCGUGCCGUGAGGUGUUGGGUUAAGUCCCGCAACGAGCGCAACCCCCAUCACUAGUUGCCAUCAGGUAACGCUGGGAACUCUAGUGAAACUGCCGUCGUAAGACGCGAGGAAGGAGGGGAUGAUGUCAAGUCAUCAUGGCCUUUAUGCCCAGGGCUACACACGUGCUACAAUGGGGCGUACAAAGGGCUGCCACUUAGCGAUAAGGAGCCAAUCCCAAAAAACGCCUCUCAGUUCAGAUCGCAGUCUGCAACUCGACUGCGUGAAGCUGGAAUCGCUAGUAA
rnacentral:rRNA from 1 species